AGUUUUUAGUUUCUGCAGAUGGGUUACUUAAGUUUUAAGAUAGGUUGUGUUUUUCUAGUGAUAGCGAUUUGAAGAGAAACAUCAUGACAGAGACUCAUAGUUCAAAGUUCACCAUGCACCCGGGAAGUACUAAGAUGUACCAAAGCAUACAAUCCCAAUUCUGGUAGAGCGGGAUGAAAAGGAAUAUUACUGAUUUCAUAUUUAAAUGCCUCACAUGCCAAUAGGUUAAGACAGAGCAUCAACGCUCAAGCAAACUAC
rnacentral:lncRNA from 1 species